AUACGGAGGGGGCUAGCGGUGUUCGGAAUUACUGGGCGUAAAGCGUACGUAGGCGGACUGAUCAGUUGGGGGUGAAAUCCCAGGGCUUAACCCUGGAACUGCCUUCAAUACUGUCAGUCUUGAGAUUGGAAGAGGUGAGUGGAAUUCCUAGUGUAGAGGUGAAAGUCAUAGAUAUUAGGAGGAACACCAGUGGCGAAGGCGGCUCACUGGUCCAAUACUGACGCUGAGGUACGAAAGCGUGGGGAGCAAACAGGAUUAGAAACCCCAGUAGUCC
rnacentral:rRNA from 1 species